rnacentral:rRNA from 1 species
AUUCCAGCUGAUCCUGCUGGCGGAUACUGCUAUCGAACUUCCACUUAGACAUGCAAGUCCAUGGAUGCGGCUACGCGCGUCCUUGGCGUACGGCUCAGUAACACGUCGUCAAUCUACCGUAGUGAGGUGUUAAUCCCGAGAAAUUGGGGCUAAUACACCGUAGUCCUUCGAAUCUGGAACGAUUGAAGGAUGAGAGGAUGCACGCGCAUGCUGCGUGUAAUCGCACUUCGAUGAGACGGCGGCCGAUUAGGUAGUUGGCGGGGUAACGGCCCACCAAGCCCGCGAUCGGUACGGGCCUUGAAAGAGGUAGCCCGGAGAAGGGAACUGAGAUAAGGUCCCUAGCCCUACGGGGUGCAGCAGUUAGGAAACCUUUACAAUGCGCGCAAGCGUGAUAGGGGUAGUUCGAGUGCCAACACUGUUGGCUUUUGCCAGGCCUAAAAAGUCUGGCGAAUAAAGGGGGGGUAAGAUACGUGCCAGCCGCCGCGGUAAUACGUACUCCCUGAGUGGUAUCCACUGAUAUUGGGCCUAAAGCGUUCGUAGCCCGUGAAGAAAGUCCUUGGUGAAAGUGGCACGCUCAACGUGUCAAAUGGCUAAGGAUACUACUUCGCUUUGAGGUCAUACGAGGUCAAGAGAAUUGCAGGGGUAACGGUGAAAUGUUGUGAUCCUUGCAGGACUACCAGUAGCGAAGGCGCUUGACCAGGAUGAUCCUGACGGUGAGGAACGAAAGCUGGGGGAGCGACCCGGAUUAGAUACCCGGUUAGUCCCAGCUGUAAACGAUGUGGACUAGGUGUUUGGUUUCCUACGUGGAAACCGGGUGCCGUCGCGAAGGCAUUAAGUCCACCGCCUGGGAAGUACACUCGCAAGGGUGAAACUUAAAGGAAUUGGCGGGAGCUCACUACAAGGGGUGGAGGCUGCGGUUUAAUCGGAUACAACGCCGAACAACUCACCCGGGGUGACAGCAGGAUGAUGGUCAGUCUAACGGGCUUACCUGACACGCUGAGAGGUGCUGUAUGGCCACUUGCAGCUCGUACUGUGAAGCGUCCUGUUAACUCAGGCAACGGGCGAGACCUUCAGGAUUAGUUGCUAAUUCCCUGUACGCAGGGGGUGCACUCUAAUCCGACUGCAACGGUAACGUUGAGGAAGGAGAAGGCCACAGUAGGUCUGUAUAGCCCGAAUCUCCGGGGCCACACGCGGCCUACAAUGGUGCAGACAAUGAGUUUCGAGCCCGAAAGGGUAAGGUAAUCCCCUAACCUGCACCGCAGUUCAGAUUGAGGGCUGUAACUCGCCCUCAUGAACGCCUGGAAUCCCCAGUAAUCGCGUGUCAUUAUCGCGCGGUGAAUGAGUCCCUGAGCUUUGCACACACCGCCCAUCAAGCCAGCCGAGUGAUGUCCAGAUGAGCAGCGUCAAACCAUUGACGUUACGAUUCUGGAUAUUGUGAGGCGGGCUAAGUUGUAACAAGGUGUCCGUAGGGGAACCUGCGGACGGAUCACCUCCU